AAAAGAAAAAAAAUUAAAAAAGUUGUUCAUCUAACUUCGUGUUCUUCGUCUCCUCCCUCCUCUUCCUUCUCUCUGCUAAAGGAGAAGAAGAAGAAGCCGUCUAACCUAAACCUUUUUUCUCGAGUUCCAAUCAGUACUGUUUCUGUUGGAUCCACAGAGACGGCGGCACCGGGGUCUUCUGCUUCCUCUCUUUUGUCAGAGCUGCUCACCAUCUCCUCUAGUUGUGCGUUCUUCGAAUCUGUUGCAGCUGCGAGAGACGAAGUCCGCCAUGUACCACUGCUUACUGCUUGCCUGAAGCUUUCCUCUGCUCUGCUCUGCUCCGCUGCACUGAAGCGCAGCAAGUCCAUCGCCGUACCAAGAAGAUCCCGCUCUCUCCUCGACCCUGCUAUCUCUUCUGACUCCGUGAUUGCAAAUUGGGGCUGGGAUUUUGUUAAAUAUUAGCAUGCUUUAGCCUUGCUCAUGCCAUUAUUAAUUGGAAUUUCUUUGAACGGAACAUGAUUUUAAUCACAUGAUUGUCUGAAUUUUAAUCACUUUUUUUUGUCUGAAUUUUAAUCACUUUUUUUCCCUAUUUGAUUCAAUCUCUUUAUUUUGUUUCUUUGUUCUUGUCAAUAUUAUCAAUGCCUCUGUUAUUGGGAUUUCUCUGUUUUGCCAAAAAUCUGUAGUAUGGUGAACUUUUUGGUUUCAUGGAUGCUUAUCCUUUUUCAUAUUUUAAUAAGUAUUUAUGUGCUUAGAAGAGCAAUUGAAUCUGGUUGCAAAUUCGGGUUGUUGGUGGAAGGAAUGCAAAUUGGGACUGGUUUUCUAGUUGUUGGUGGACUAGCCUAGCUUGCUGAACUGAUUAAUUCAUUAAUAGAAGGGAGUGGUGUCAUAAUCUGCAUUGACUCUGAAACAAGAAGUGAUGUCUCGGUUCCUUCAGUUUCUCUGUGUCAUCAUAGCAGCUUCGCAUGCUAUUAGGUUUGCCACCAACUUCUCUGUUCUUGUAGAACACCCUACACAACACCCAAUCUUCUUGUAUGGACAGAAAAAAGAGUUAAUUAGAUGCUAUCAUAGUUAAUUCGAACCUAUGACUAUGCUUCAGAAAAUGGCCGAGGGUUGUGAAAGCUUCAAUUUUUACCAUCAUUCAAUUGCCUCUUUUUCUUUUAUUUUUUGCUGCUCCAUUGAACUUCAAAGUGUUUGGACUAGUUGAUGGAGUACUCCCACUUGCUUGAUAAAGCAGAUUAGUGUGAGGAUCUAUACAUGCGGCUUGUGUAUGCAUCAUCAUGGGCUGUAUCUGUUCACUAUGCAUACCCAAGAACAUGGAAGCCUUUUAAUCCAAUCCUUGGAGAGACCUAUGAAAUGGUUAACCAUGGUGGAAUCACUUUUCUUUCAGAACAGUUGAUGCCUUGAUGCUAUUAAGGUCAAUGAUUGAUUCAGUUCUUAGCUACUGAUUUUUCAAAAAGAAAUUACCGGACAAAUUUCUUUGCCGAGCUAUUGAUUCAGUUCUUGGCUAUUGAUUUUUGUUGUUGGAUCUCAACAACAAAAGAUUCAAUUCUGACAUUGGCGUACAUGGCCAAGCAAAUUUUCCAUCAUUUGUGACUCAUCAUGAUGUUCAUCCAUCACCACUACCUAUGCAUUUGUUUCAAGGUGUUCUUUCUAUGCUAACUUACAACCAAGUCAUGGAAGUAAGUUGCAAGAAAUUUCAGAAGGAUAGUACCGAUGACUCAAACCAUCGUUCAGGAUCAAAUGCAUCAGACAAUAAGCCUUUCUAUAACUUCUUAGAAGUUAAGGAUCCAGAGUGGGGGAAGGAUGCACUUGGAUCACAUCAUGGCACGAAGCAGGACGCUACGGCCUUUGAUCUUAGCUUGAAGCUUUGAUUCUAGCAGGAAACUGUGAAGCAGUAACAAUGGCUAUGAUGAGUAUGCAUUUAUAAUGGUUUUCUGCUUGAAAUCCAACAAUGUUAACAAGCUAAGAAAAAGUGAAUAGUUUCCUAGUCUUGGUUGAGGCCAAGGUAACUCGGAAUUAAAGAUAGAAGAGAUUUGUUACAUUAGAGACCAUGCCUUUGGAUUCAAGGAAACUGGAAAUCAAAGAUAAGAAGAAAUCUUGCAUGGAGAUUUCAUUUGACCUAUCUUAAUUUCGAUAGUUAUGGUUUUAUUUUAUUUGAGACUUUUAAUUUGGUUACAUUACAUGUAAUUCUAUAGUUGCUCUAUAGUCUUAGUAAUGAAAUUUUAAAUUCGAUGACA